rnacentral:rRNA from 1 species
GACGAACGCUGGCGGCGUGCUUAACACAUGCAAGUCGAACGGCAAGGCCCUGCUUUCGUGGGGUGCCCGAGUGCCGAACGGGUGAGUAACACGUGAGUAACCUGCCCUUCAUUUUGGGAUAACUUCAGGAAACUGGGGCUAAUACCGGAUAGGAGCCCCCGUUCCAUGGUGGGGGUUGGAAAUUCUCGGCGGUUGGGGAUGGAUUCGCGGCUUAUCAGCUUGUUGGUGGGGUAGUGGCUUACCAAGGGUUUGACGGGUAGCCGGCCUGGGAGGGUGACCGGCCACAUUGGGACUGAGAGACGGCCCAGAGUCCUACGGGAGGCAGCAGUGGGGAAUAUUGCACAAUGGGCGGAAGCCUGAUGCAGCAGCGCCGCGUGCGGGAUGACGGCCUUCGGGUUGUAAACCGCUUUCGCCUGUGACGAAGCGUGAGUGACGGUAAUGGGUAAAGAAGCACCGGCUAACUACGUG